GUGGGGAAUAUUGGACAAUGGGCGAAAGCCUGAUCCAGCCAUGCCGCGUGUGUGAAGAAGGUCUUCGGAUUGUAAAGCACUUUAAGUUGGGAGGAAGGGCAGUAAGUUAAUACAUUGCUGUUUUGACGUUACCGACAGAAUAAGCACCGGCUAACUUCGUGCCAGCAGCCGCGGUAAUACGAAGGGUGCAAGCGUUAAUCGGAAUUACUGGGCGUAAAGCGCGCGUAGGUGGUUUUGUAAGUUGGAGGUGAAAUCCCCGGGCUCAACCUGGGAACUGCCUCCAAAACUGCAUGACUAGAGUACGGUAGAGGGUAGUGGAAUUUCCUGUGUAGCGGUGAAAUGCGUAGAUAUAGGAAGGAACACCAGUGGCGAAGGCGACUACCUGGACUGAUACUGACACUGAGGUGCGAAAGCGUGGGGAGCAAACAGGAUUAGAUACCCGAGUAGUCC
rnacentral:rRNA from 1 species